CAUGGCCUUGGGACAGAUUUUGCCUCUAGUGCUGCAUUAGGGAGCAGAUAAUCUCACGUGGAUUAUGGAAGUGGUGAAGAGCAGAGGCUGCAUCUUCCAUUACUUGGCUCCCUGCUGUGGGCACCUGCUCCCUGUGUGGCAUAAGGAGGUGUAGGAUACAGACUUCCUUUUUUUUUUAAAUACCAAGGAAAAACCCACAGGAGGGCUGAAGGGAGAUUAUGCUUUACCCUGGGAAGGUCUGGCAGGAGGUUGCUGCUUUCUGUAACUGUCUCAGAAAUACAAGUGGGGAAUUCAAAGUACAAGACAGAUGAACAAAGAAGGCAACAGAGUGGAACUAGUAACAGCCCCAGGGAAAACCAGAGCAGACAGGGAAGAGUGUUACAAAGUGCUCAUCAAAUUUACAUGCAAAUAGUAAUGCUAACAUUGUACAUGAUUAACCAGAAUACCCUGCAAAGUCAAAUGGGAAUGAAUAAAACAAAGACUUUAUGCAACUUUGAAGCAUUUGGCUGUUACUACUACAUGAAACUGCUGGCAAUCUGCUUUGUGAGCAGAGUUCAUGGCAUCUGUGUUUACAUGUUGCACAUUGAAUUUGGCAAAAAAUAGUUUAGUUAAUCAGGAAAAGCAAUUUAUUAUAGAUAUAUAGAUCUUAAUACUCCAAAAGAGUGCACUCUGUCAUUCAAGUUAAAAUUUAAAAGAUUAACAAGUACUGUAAGAAAUUACAUUGGCAGGAGCUUUUUGUAAAAACUUCGGAGAAAAUCAACUUGGAAUUAAGAUUCUGACUACAGAAUUUAGUCAGAAUCUCUGUUCUUGGGACAAGGAAACACUACUGCCUUUGGACCCAUGGGUGUGGUUCAAAGGCAUGUCAGAUUUGCUGUUUCCUUCAUCUGAUUUAAUCAUGCAUGAUGCCAUAAAACUGGUGUAAAUGCCAGUAAGAAUACAGGUGUCAAAGCCUGGGAGACAGAUAACGGAGCAAGGAUUUCACCAACACAUCCAAGCUACACUGGGACAUCCCCCAGACUGGAGGACAGGAGGCUGGGGAGCAGCACUGCGAAAAGAGAUGGGAGGGUUUGGAUUGAGGACAAAUUGAACACGAGUCAGCAGUGCCCUGGCAGCCAGGAGGAACAUCCCUGUCCUGGGGACAUCAGGCACAGCAUCAGCCAGGCAAGGGAGGGGAUUGUCCUGCUCUGCUCUGCUCUGGGGCAGCCUCACCUCCAGUGCUGGGGGCAGCUCUGGGUGCCACAGUGGAAGAGAGAUGUGAAGCUAUUGGGGAGUGUCCAAAGGAGAGCCAUGAGGAUGGUGAAGUGUGUUGAAGGGAAGCUGUAUGAGAAAGAGCUGAAGUCACCUGGUCUGUUCAGUCUGGCGGAAACUGAGGUAACCUUAUGGCAGCCUACAGCCUCCGCAUGAGAAGAAGUGGAGUGGCAGGCACUGAUCUCCUUUCUGGUAACCAGAGUUUGGACAUAAGGAGAUGAAUGAAACUGCAUCAGGGAAAAAUUCAGACUGAACAUGAGGAAAAGGCUACUGAGAGGGUAGUUGGUCAUUUAACAGGUUCCCAGGAAAAUGGUCUCUAAGCCUGUCAGCAUUGAAGGAGCCUCUGAACGAUGCUUAGUCAUACAAUUUAGUCUGAGGUAGUCAUGGAAUAUCUCAAGUUGGAAGGGACACAUAGGGAUCAUCCUACAAGGAGCAGGGAACAUGACUCAAUGAUAUGUAUGGUCCCUUUCAACUUGAGAUAGUCUAUGAUCCAAAGGACUACAGUGGCUGAAGCAGGCUGUAGUCCAGGAAGCUGUGGCUUUUUUCCCCAUACAGCUGAUACCUGCUUUCAGCCACUGCAUUAAUGAUAUUUAUGAGCUAGGAGUUCUGUACUUGCAAUUAGACUUUCUUGUAUCAAGGAAAUUUCUACCUACAAUGUGUUGGCUUAAUUGUUCCAGAACUAGUGGUGGAAGGCAGGUGGAAAGAAGUCAGGUACUGCCAGUGUUCCCACUGAAGCCACACAAGGCUUUGUGCAUUAAAACUCCCUUCUCCCUGUGGUAGACUAGAGAGAAUUGGAGACAUGCCAAGCUGUGUGAGCAGUGAGACCCACUGACUCCAUGCAGCUUUGGAGGUAUGAUGUGUAAGGGGAAGGAGGGACUUCCCCUUCGAACAUUCUUCCCAGCACAGUCAGUCAGAAGACUCUGAACAUCAGUUUAACCAAUGGACAUCUAAAUUGCAACAAUCAAGCCUUGUUUCUGGAUUCUUCGCGGUAAUACCUUUCUACACUUACCAUUUCUUAUUUUCCUUAUAUUUUCUUAAGUGGUACUUUUAUGCUUUUAUAUUAUUACCAUAGCAUUUUGCAUAUUACAUAUUACAUAGCAUUACCAUUAUUACCAUAACAAUUACCAAAAUGGCUAAAUACAUCCUCUCCAUUGCAACAAAAUUGUUUUGAAACAAAUCCUACACACACACACAUAUACAUUAAGCCACCAAUCAUUCAGUGUCUUUUCAUUCUAAUCCACACAAAAGCAUCUAUCUGCUCAUUAUUCACAUUGCUAUAGACUAUGUUUGGCACAGUUAAUUCUCUCAGGUACUGGAUACCUUUUUCCAUGGCAUUCCACCUGCUUGGGUGCACUACUAGAUCAUCGUUGACAGUGCCUGUCCUUCAUGCUUGACAGGAGUCGUCUCCAGGGUCUGAGUUUCUGUCCUUUUCCCAAUCCUCUUGUCAGUGCCCUGGGUCAGGGAUCCCAGCUGUCUGGCUUCACUAUUGUCUGGUUUUACAUUGUGGGCUGCAAUAUCCCGGCAUUGGACCAGGCAGGUCACCAGCGGCUCUCCUGCUACUGUGACCGAAACUGCCGGAGAAACCAAAACUAUCCAACCAUUUUUAGUGUUAGAUAAUCAAGGCAUUACUUCACUUUAAUUCUGGCCAGGAUGUUGAUCUGGGCAGGAUGUGCAACAGAAAUAAUUUCAUCCACACAUAGCCUGGGUGUGCAGAGAAAAUCCUUCCAUGGCACAUGAAUUUUACCAAACUUAAUACAAUCAAAACCCACAGAGAUUAAUUGGUUUAAUGUUCAUUAGUUCCAAGUUACAUAGUUCUUAGUAUUUGGUUUCUUACUCGUUACAGAUCUCUUUGCCUCCGAUGUUAUUUAGGUUCUCAUUCUUACCUCUGCUUUCCCAGAGCUGGCGUCUCGGACCCGUGCCAGGUGCAGUCAAUGUUCCAUUAAUGGCCCUUGAUGGCUGUUACCUUUUGUGUUUCUUUUGUGCUGCUCCUACUCUGUUGAGAUGUUCAGCCCAUCGGGCCUAGUGGGACAAUGCCCUGAAAACAAACUUCAGUUCCCUUCCACGGGGCAAAGGUGAACAAACCUGACUAAAGUAAUAAAAUAAAAAAUUUUGAACUUGGUAUAUUUUGC
ensembl:lncRNA